CUUGAUUAGUGGCGCACGGGUGAGUAAUGCAUAGAUAAUGUGCCCCUUAGUUCGGGAUAGCCACUGGAAACGGUGAUUAAUACCGGAUACUCCUUCUUGUUAUAAGACAAGUCGGGAAAGUUUUUCGCUAAGGGAUCAGUCUAUGUUCCGUCAGCUUGUUGGUGAGGUAAUGGCUCACCAAGGCUAUGACGGAUAUCUGGUUUGAGAGGAUGAUCAGGCACACUGGAACUGGGACACGGUCCAGACUCCUACGGGAGGCAGCAGUGAGGAAUAUUGCACAAUGGAGGAAACUCUGAUGCAGCAACGCCGCGUGGAGGAUGACGCAUUUCGGUGUGUAAACUCCUUUUAUUAGGGAAGAUAAUGACGGUACCUAAUGAAUAAGCACCGGCUAACUCCGUGCCAGCAGCCGCGGUAAUACGGAGGGUGCAAGCGUUACUCGGAAUCACUGGGCGUAAAGGGUGCGUAGGCUGGCUUUUAAGUCAGAUGUGAAAUCCAAUGGCUCAACCAUUGAACUGCAUUUGAAACUGAAAGCCUAGAGUUCAGAAGGGGCAGAUGGAAUUAGUGGUGUAGGGGUAAAAUCCGUAGAUAUCACUAGGAAUAUCAAAAGCGAAGGCGAUCUGCUGGGAUGAUACUGACG
rnacentral:rRNA from 1 species